GACGUAGGGCGCGAGCGUUGUCCGGAUUUAUUGGGCGUAAAGAGCUCGUAGGCGGCUUGUCGCGUCGACUGUGAAAACCCGCGGCUCAACUGCGGGCCUGCAGCCGAUACGGGCAGGCUAGAGUUCGGUAGGGGAGACUGGAAUUCCUGGUGUAGCGGUGAAAUGCGCAGAUAUCAGGAGAACACCCGUGGCGAAGGCGGGUCUCUGACGGAACGCACUGAGCUGAGCGCGAAAGCGUGGGGAGCAAACAGG
rnacentral:rRNA from 1 species